GAAAAAAAUCGACACGAUCGAUUCAUGUGUUUUAACUUGUGAACUGAUUCAAAAACGUCAACGUUAGUCUGAUGUGUCUUUCCAAUGUAUUAUGUGUUUUCUACACGUUAGAUUAAUCUGAUACAUAACAUGGAUUUUGCGGCAAAACCUACAUCACCAAAUCAAAUGUAAUUCAAUUCGAUGUAAUAUUUGAUACACUUGGCAUUCAAAUGCCUCUGUUUUUAACAGAAUCCAAUUGCCAAAACAUUACAAUCUCAUGUGUGCUACCAUAGAAAAUGAAGAAUUUUUCUAACGAAUCUGCGCUACUAGGUUUUCCAAAUGCAUUCCAUAACUGGUGGCACAUGACCAAUGAAAAAAAGCCUCCAAACAUAAAACAUGUUUUAUCACGGCCAUUUUGAAUAACCAACAGCCUCGCCAACAGCAGAACAUGAUCGUGCCGUCAAUCAUUUCGUCAAUUUUCACCAACAGCAGAUUGGCGGAGCUGGUGGAGGAUUCGAAGAAACGACUUGACCUAGUUUUGGUGGCCUCAGCUUUUGUCAUUUUUAAACGCCAGUCAUUCCUCGAACUUGUCGGGCUAAUCGAACUGAAGUGCAUGAUCUCCACGAACGGAUUUCCUGGUGAUAAUGGUGUGCGUAUGCCAACAUAACCAAAAAGAUCUGCUACGGUCGACCGAGUUCCGGAAAUUACUUCUCCGUGGAAGUGCAUGACGCAUAGCAGGAGGACACGACAAUGCUUUAGAGCUGCUAUCGGACCGAAAAAGUAUGUAUCAUACAUGAACACGGCCAACCUUUUGAUAAAUUGGGAACAAGUGCCUGCUGCCGCCACCACCAACCGGAGCCGGAGUUGCUUCCACCGAAUCUUCCGGAAAAACUCUCCGAAUGGAAGGUAUCUGCUGACGAUUUCGUUCUUCAGGAGCAGCCCGAGUGGGAGGUGUCACAUAAUUGUGAUUCCAAAUGUGCUGUAAAGGAGGACUACCGGAAGAGAUGAUUCUGUGGCCAAUAUUGCCAAUAUGAGAGCUAUCGAUGCGCCAGGGCCAUUUUAUAGGUCGUAAGUAUAUGUAGAUUGUCUAUCAUGUAAAGUGUAAAAUAGAAGAAAACAACAAUAAAUGUUUUUAAAAUCACUGAAUUUAAGUUUCCUUUUAAGUGUCCUUAUUUCAUGCGUGCUUAGUUAUACCAUCACGAUUUUAAAUAAAAUUUCAAGAGAUUCAACAUCUCUUGAAAUUCCAAACUAAAAUCGUGAUGGUAAAACUGAGCUCGCAUGAAAUAAGGUCAUAACAUAAAGUAAUUUUUGCCUGGAGGACUAUAUGGGCAUCAUAACGUGAAAUCUAUGUGCAACAAAACACGAAAUCUAUGUUCAGCGUAAUGUGGCAUUUAUGUUUUCAUAAGUUGUUAUUUAUUGACUCUUCAAUCGGAAUGCAUAUGUAUUUCAUUCAAAUAUCGUGUGAGGUACACAUGAGAUUCGUGUGGAUUGUUGACAGAUCGGGGCAAAACAUUUGUUGGUGAUUCUAUAUGUUCCACACGUGACAUUCGUGGGGCUUUACAAUUUGCGCAAAUCUAUAUG